CACGGCGAGGGAUAACCACGGGAAACUGAGGCUAAUACAGCGUGGGUGUACGCCUGGCCUAUCAGCUAGUUGGUACUGUAAUGGCGUACCAAGGCGAUAACGGGUAACGGGGAAUCGGGGUUUGAUUCCGGAGAGGGAGCCUGAGAGAUGGCUGCCACGUCCAAGGACGGCAGCAGGCGCGAAACUUACCCACUUGGAGGACCAGAGGUAGUGACGAAGCGUGACGAUGAGUCUACGGUAAAUAAGUAGACGAAAGCGACUGGAGGGCAAGUCUGGUGCCAGCAUCCGCGG
rnacentral:rRNA from 1 species